AGGAAGACUGCAGCCAGCAGUCAGACCACCAGACCACGUCUGUAGACUGCAUCGGUCACUGUGGCUGUGGGAUUAGGACUGACACCAAACCCCCGUGGUUUCAGCCCGUGUGGUCCUCUCCUGCCCGACCCUUCCGAGCACUGGCCCCAGACCUCCGUGGUCCACGCGUCCGCAGCCCGCAGGCUGUCACGGGAUGAAAUACAUGUCAGCUUCCCUGGCCCUCGGACCUUGGUGUUUCCUUCCGGCUUGACGGUUUGGAGGACACCUCCUGCUGCGGGAGGGCAGAGCGGGAGAUCCAGGAACAACCCAGCAGCCCCAGCCAGGGCUCAGGCCUGCAGAGACCUGCCCGCCCCGCCAGUCCCUGCAGGGGACCCAGGUCUGUGGGACUAGGGGCCAUGCCAGCAGGCCAGCCAUGAGUGGGGUCGCUCUGCCAUCCAGUGUCCUGAUGACGGCUCUGUGACAUGCAGAGUGGCUUCCCUCCUCUCUCACAGGGCCCCUGAUUGUCACCUUGGUAGCUUCUUCCCAAGUGCCCUCAGCUGCAGUCAGCGUUAGAAGGGCCUGACUGUGGCUAUUGAGCACACAUUGCAUAUCUGCUUGGACAUUUCCUAUGGCCAGAACAAAGGCCCUUGAGAUAAAGGUCCUCCCCCUCCGACAUUGGCAUUUCCUUAGGGAUAAGCAUCUUUCAUUAGGCUAGGAAGUGAUUGCUGCACUCACCUUUGACCACCCAGCUCACCUGUGACCACCCAGCUGGAGACAACAGACUGCCACCCUGCGGGGUUCACUGAGACAGAAGACCUGCCUGCUGUUUCCAUCAAUUGCUGUGCUGACAGAGCAGUCUCGCGACGAUUGUAAAAGGGACAUUUCAAUCCUAUGUGAAACAUCCUCUUUGGGGAUUGGUUAUGGAUUAUUUUCGUCGACAUUGGUGAGCCAGGAGCCUGGUGGAGAUUGGAAGAGGAGAGAGCAGUGGGAUUUGACCCGCCACCACCUCCUGCAGGGUCCCCUGGGACAGUCCCUGUCCCCCCACUUCCCAUCGCUUCUCUGGGGCAGUGUCCCCAUGGCCCUCUCACCCCCUUUGCAGCCUGGGCGGUAGGUCGCUCGUGACCCUGCAGCCAGCCCUGGAGGCACUGUGUGUGUCUCUGGUUUCCCGGGGUCCUGCCUACCCCUCUCCAAAUGGUGCUCAGAGGCCACUCUCUCCUGGUUUUCUGACUUGGGUGGUCAUCUGUUUCUGUUGGGAGCCUGAUUGAGACACUGCCUCUGCCUGACUCUCGAGGUGGGGGAGGGACUCCAUCGGCCACCCUCUCAGCCCUUCCCCAGGCAGAGGACAAACUGACACCCCCUGACCCCGCCCACGAACUCUUGGGGAGAGUGGACCUGAGCUAGGCCCUGCACAGAGAGUGACACUGCAGAGAAGGAUGUGUAGCCUUCCCCAGCUGGCCUGGGUGCCAGGGGCCUCAGACAGAAAGAUGCCC
rnacentral:lncRNA from 1 species